rnacentral:rRNA from 1 species
UAAGUCCCGCAACGAGCGCAACCCUUGUCUUUAGUUGCCAUCAUUAAGUUGGGCACUCUAGAGAGACUGCCAGGGAUAACCUGGAGGAAGGUGGGGAUGACGUCAAAUCAUCAUGCCCCUUAUGCUUAGGGCUACACACGUGCUACAAUGGGUAGUACAGAGGGUUGCCAAACCGUAAGGUGGAGCUAAUCCCUUAAAGCUACUCUCAGUUCGGAUUGUAGGCUGAAACUCGCCUACAUGAAGCUGGAGUUACUAGUAAUCGCAGAUCAGAAUGCUGCGGUGAAUGCGUUCCCGGGUCUUGUACACACCGCCCGUCACACCACGGGAGUUGGAGACGCCCGAAGCCGAUUAUCUAACCUUUUGGAAGAAGUCGUCGAAGGUGGAAUCAAUAACUGGGGUGAAGUCGUAACAAGGUAGCCGUAUCGGAAGGUGCGGCUGGAUC